GCCGGGUGUGGUGGCGGGCGCCUGUAGUCCCAGCUACUCGGGAGGCUGAGGCAGAAAAAUGGUGUGAACCCAGGAGGCGGAGCUUGCAGUGAGCCGAGAUCGCGCCACUGCACUCCAGCCUGGGUGACAGAGCGAGACUCCGUCUCAAAAAAAAAAAAAAGAGUUUCACUCUGUUGCCCAGCCUGGAGUGCAGUGGCACAAUCUCGGCUCACUGCAACCUCCGCCUCCCGGGUUCAAGUGAUUCUCGUGCCUCAG
rnacentral:sRNA from 1 species